rfam:Peptostreptococcaceae bacterium oral taxon 113 str. W5053 genomic scaffold Scaffold31, whole genome shotgun sequence.
GUAUAAUGAAUUAAUAACGAUACAGUAUUCUAGUCAAUCCAUUAUAUCUGGAGGACGGGGCUAAAAAUCCGUCGAAGGGCAUAUCGAUGAAGUUCUUUGUAUGAGCCCUGAGCGCCCAGCUUGGGGUUUAUGCAGGGAGUAAAGAAAGAUGGGGCGAUCUACAAUGGCAUGUAGGCGUUGACCCUGCUUUCGUGGAGGCUUGCAUUUUGUUUGCGAGAAUAACCUGUUUCUUAUUAAACAGAGUAGCCUGCCUUGAGUGAGAUGCGGAGAUGAUAAGGUGAGAGUAAUUUUUAUGGGCCCAUAGAAAAUAUUCUUUGUUAUCGAAACGUAUUUUGCAAAAGAGGCUAAGGAUAUCCUUUGGAUUGUAUAGGAAAACUUCUAGACUGUUGGUAUUAGGUAUGUUUUGGAUUACAGUGCGGACUAAGUGGCGAUCCAGCUCUGCUUAUGGCAACAAAGCGGCACUUUAAUGAAAGGGAAACCGCUAUAUUGGCAACAAAUAGUUUGAAGUGGGGAAAGCCUGCUGGACCUAUGCCGUAAGAUUUACAAGAUAUAUCAUCGUUAUUGCUGAUGGCAAU